GCCGAAAUAGCUCAGUUGGGAGAGCGCUAGACUAUAGAUCAAAAGUCCCUGGUUCGAUCCCGGGUUUCGGAA
rnacentral:tRNA from 1 species